rnacentral:rRNA from 1 species
AAAGGAAUAGACGGGGACCCGCACAAGCAGCGGAGCAUGGGGUUUAAUUCGAAGCAACGCGAAGAACCUUACCAGAACUUGACAUCGAGUGAAGAGAGUUGUAAUGACUCUCGUCCCUUCGGGGACACGAAGACAGGUGUUGCAUGGUUGUCGUCAGCUCGUGUCGUGAGAUGUUAGGUUAAGUCCUGCAACGAGCGCAACCCUCGUGUACAGUUGCCAAUAUUAAGUUAGGAACUCUGUACAGACCGCCGUGGUUAACACGGAGGAAGGUGGGGAUGACGUCAAAUCAUCACGGCCCUUACGUUCUGGGCCACACCCGUGCUACAAUGGCUAUUACAAAGAGCAGCGAAACGGUAACGUGGAGCGAAUCUCAUAAAGAUAGUCUCAGUUCAGAUUGUGGGCUGCAACUCGCCCACAUGAAGUAGGAGUUGCUAGUAAUCCCGAAUCAGCAUGUCGGGGUGAAUGCGUUCCCGGGUCUUGUACACACCGCCCGU